GGUGAACGCUGGCGGUAGGCUUAACACAUGCAAGUCGAGGGGCAGCAUGGUCUUAGCUUGCUAAGACGGAUGGCGACCGGCGCACGGGUGCGUAACGCGUAUGCAACUUGCCUCACAGAGGGGGAUAACCCGGCGAAAGACGGCCUAAUACCGCGUACACUCAAUUGUGGGCAUCCGAGGUAGAGGAACUGAAAGUCGCUGUGAGAUAGGCAGGCGGUCCAUUUGCUUGUGGGUGAGGGAACGGCCCACCGAGGCGACGGUGGGUAGGGGAACGGAGAGGUUGACACCCCGGACUGGAACUGCGACCCGGACCAGACUGCUACGGCAGGGAGCAGUAAGGAAUAUUGGUCAAUGGACGCUGGCCUGACCCAGCCAAGUGGGGUGAAGGAUGACUGUCUUAUGGAUUCUAUUCUUCUUUUGUAGAAGAGUAAAGAGGUGACAGUGUGCCCCAGUGACGGUACCCUACGAAUAAGCACCGGCUAACUCCGUG
rnacentral:rRNA from 1 species